UACGAAGGCAGCAGUGGGGAAUAUUGCACAAUGGGCGCAAGCCUGAUGCAGCCAUGCCGCGUGUAUGAAGAAGGCCUUCGGGUUGUAAAGUACUUUCAGUCGUGAGGAAGGUGUUAAGGUUAAUAACCUUAGCAAUUGACGUUAGCGACAGAAGAAGCACCGGCUAACUCCGUGCCAGCAGCCGCGGUAAUACGGAGAGUGCGAGCGUUAAUCGGAAUUACUGGGCGUAAAGGGCACGCAGGCGGUUAAUUAAGUUGGAUGUGAAAUCCCCGGGCUUAACCUGGGAAUGGCAUUCAAGACUGGUUAGCUAGAGUCUUGUAGAGGGGGUAGAAUUCCAUGUGUAGCGGUGAAAUGCGUAGAGAUGUGGAGGAAUACCGGUGGCGAAGGCGGCCCCUGGGACAAAGGCUGACGCUCAUGUACGAAAGCGUGGGGAGCAAACAGGGAUUAGAUACC
rnacentral:rRNA from 1 species